GGCAAACGGGUGCGUAACACGUGGGUGACCUACCUCGAAGUGGGGAAUAACGGUCCGAAAGGAUCGCUAAUACCGCAUGUUCUCGAUGAUUCAUUUUGUCGAGUAAAACCGUAAGGUGCUUUGAGAGGGGCCCGCGUCCCAUCAGGUAGUUGGUGAGGUAAUGGCCCACCAAGCCAAUGACGGGUAGCUGGUCUGAGAGGACGACCAGCCACAAUGGAACUGAGAUACGGUCCAUACUCCUACGGGAGGCAGCAGUGAGGAAUAUUGCACAAUGGACGAAAGUCUGAUGCAGCGACGCCGCGUGGGUGAUGAAGGCCCUCGGGUCGUAAAACCCUUUUGGCAGGGACGAGUGAGGACGGUACCUGCAGAAUAAGUCUCGGCUAACUACGUGCCAGCAGCCGCGGUAAAACGUAGGAGGCGAGCGUUAUCCGGAUUUACUGGGCGUAAAGCGCGCGUAGGCGGUCGGGUAAGUCAGAUGUUAAAGCCCCUGGCUC
rnacentral:rRNA from 1 species